CCGUGUACGAUUCGCCUUGAGUUUGAUCAUGGCUCAGGACGAACGCUGGCGGCGCGCUUAACACAUGCAAGUCGAGCGAGAACCGGCCCUUCGGGGCCGGGGACAGCGGCGAACGGGUGAGUAACACGUGGGUAAUCAACCCUCGGUACUGGGAUAGCCCGGGGAAACCCGGAUUAAUACCGGAUGGCCCUUUGGAUCCUCGGAUCUGAAGGAAAAGGUAGCUUCGGCCUCCGACCGAGGACGAGCCCGCGGCGGAUUAGCUUGUUGGUGGGGUAACGGCCCACCAAGGCGACGAUCCGUAGCUGGUCUGAGAGGACGAUCAGCCACACUGGGACUGAGACACGGCCCAGACUCCUACGGGAGGCAGCAGUGGGGAAUCUUGUCCAAUGGGCGAAGGCCUGAGACAGCGACGCCGCGUGCGGGAAGAAGGCCUUCGGGUUGUAAACCGCUUUCAGGAGGGACGAAGCCACUCGGGUUAAUAGCCCAGAGGGUGACGGUACCUCCAGAAGAAGCCCCGGCCAACUACGUGCCAGCAGCCGCGGUAAUACGUAGGGGGCAAGCGUUGUCCGGAUUUAUUGGGCGUAAAGAGCGUGUAGGCGGCCAUGCAGGUCCGUUGUGAAAACUCGAGGCUCAACCUCGAGCUGUCGAUGGAAACCGUAUGGCUAGAGUCCGGAAGAGGAGAGUGGAAUUCCUGGUGUAGCGGUGAAAUGCGCAGAUAUCAGGAAGAACACCCGUGGCGAAGGCAGCUCUCUGGGACGGUACUGACGCUGAGACGCGAAA
rnacentral:rRNA from 1 species